GAUGCCACGUGCAGAGAAAGAUCAGCGUGCCCGAGACGAGAAAUGAACUCAGGGCAGCCAACCUUCACUGUAUUGGUGACAGGCGCGAACAGCGCUAACCGUUGCGCCACCGGACCGCUCUAUGAGACCAGACCGUGUACUUGUCCAGAAGAUAUUAGUCCUUAAAACGCCACAAACCAAGAAGCAAGUGAGAUCACUGCUAGGGCUCAUAGGAUAUUAUCGGCGAUACAUCGCCGACUUUUCCAAAAUAAUGGCGCCCAUAUCAGAAUUGGUAAGAGGAACCAGUCCAUGCUCGAUACAUUGGACUACAGACUGUCAGGCGGCCCUAGAGAAAAUUCAAUGCCUCUUAUCCAACUUUCCAAUCCUGCGGUUGCUGGACUUUGCAUUACCCUUCCAGCUACAAACCGAUGCCAGCGCUGUGGGACUAGGAGUGGUGUUACUGCAGCAACACGACGAAGCCCUCUUUCCAGUCAUGUACAUCAGUCGCAAACUACUGGACAGAGAGGCACGGUAUAGUACCGUAGAGAGGGAAUGUUUAGCGAUCGUCUGGGCUGUUCUGACACUGUCUCGCUAUCUGUACAGCAGACAGUUUGUUCUUUUUACAGAUCACAAACCCCUCACCUUCCUCACCUCCACUCCGUAUAAAAAUGCACGAAUAAUGAGAUGGGCUUUAGCCCUGCAAGAAUUCAAAUUUGACAUUGAACCUAUUAAGGGAACAACAAAAUAGCAGAUGCCUUGUCACGAACGGAGACAGAUCAAGAACCCAGCCUGCAAAACUAGUGGGAUAGUAGUAGGCCCUACUACAGAUUGCCCACCUGUAGGUAGGUUGUGGGCUGUCGCGCUUGGCGCUACGCGACACGGGAAGCCCAUCACUUCGUGCGAAACGCAGUUAUGUCCCCUAAAAUGGUCUAGCCCAUUUGGAGCAAGGCUAUGCGUGAGAAGGGCCUGCCUGUAGAAAAUAUGUUUUCUACUUUUGUGGCAUUUUGUGUAGUUAGGGGAUUUAGUGUGUUAGUCGGGUGGGGGUACUUUACACCUGCGUCCAGACCCUUGCUACACCUCCAAGGCCAAUGGGAGGAAGUUACGCCCACCGGAAGAAAGGAACCAAGUCUGGCGAGGGGCAGAGAACGUCACUUCUCCGGGUAGCGAGCUGGUGAGCGGCCGCUGAGAGUCCGUCUUAGAGAUCAUAGAAGACGUUAAAGUCCACGUGGGGACUGAACUGUGAUGUGUGAAUUUUUGGUAUUGAUGAACUGUGAACUGAAACUAGUGACUUGUGAAUAGUGAGCAGUGGAAUUAUUAUCGUGAGAAACUAUCAAGAAGAAACACCAGAGAGAUAAGUUUUAAGAUAUACUUGUAGCCAAUCUUUUAUGUAGUUAUGUGUAUAUAUAUGUACAUCUUUUCUUUCAUUAUAUUCGUUAUUCAUGUUGAAAUCUGUAUUUUGAGGAGUGUUUUGGAGUGAGCGUGUGGACGCAUGCUGGACGGGUGCAUGCGAGUGGAAAUUAAGCCUUGCGCGCAGGACCCACACGUGGCAGUCCAUUACACUGCCCACCGGCUUCUUUCCGCCCGCGCGAAGCGUCACAUGACGCCCACGUGCUGUCUCGCGCAACGUGACAUCUGCCUUUAUCUUUUUAUCUCUGUCCUGGUAAGUUCGUUUUUUCUUAAAAAAAUUGCUUACAGUAGUUAAAAUUAUUUGUUAAGCUUAAUUUAAUACAAGUAUUAUUUAAUGUGAGGAAAAUUAUUUUAAAUGAAUUUCUGGAGAUUUUAUUAUUUAGUGAGCCCUGAUUAGUACUUUACUGCGUGGCAGGCUUGCACAAAACGUGGUUACUGCAUGAGUUGCUUGCUUUGUAAUGUGUAGCAGUUUUUUUGUGACAAGCUUAGGAAACUGUUGAAUUGGAGCAAACUUGAGGACGUUUUUUUUUCUACUCUUUUAAUUCACUUUAUGCAAUUAGUUUUAAGGAUUCACAAAUUUCUCGUCUUAAAAAUUUCAGACAUAUAUCUAUUUGAUGAGUAUUUUAAUUUGUGACGCUAUCACAUACCAUUGAAUUUGUGCGUUGUUGCUUAUAGUGAAAAUACUUUUUGUUUUUUAAAAUAACCAACCAUUUUAUUUAAUCUUUUAGUUUUUUAGUCUUAUUCCUUACAUUAGAAAAACUUUGUAUCAGAGACUCGACAGCUUUCAGGACAAAGGGCAGCAUCAAAUGCUGCAUCUAGGACAAGUCAAGAUUUGUGUGGUUUUAUGCGUUACUUUUACAUAUUUAUGCUUUAUGAUUUUAUCUUGCAUUGUAACAGUGGUUGAAACCUUUGUCAUGUGACAGAAAGUUGUAAAUCACUAAUCAUGUAUGGCAACAUGAUGAAAUUUAAACAUUUUUACUUGCAGAGCCUGCUGUACCAGUCCAUGGAAAUGAUUCUAUAGGUAAGAUAUUUAAUUAAUUUAAGUUCUUUAGAAUGUAAUUUAAGAGAAUAGCAUGUACAAAAUUUAUCAUCGAAAAGCUGAAUUGUGACAAGUCAAAAGGUAAUGCUUUUUUGUGAAGGUUUUGUCUGUCUACAAAACCCCACACUACAAAACCCCACAUGCACAGGUUAUAUUUUAUAUUGUUAUUGUUUUUAUUUUGAGUGCAGACAGAACACAUCAGCGAUUUUUCCAAAUUCUAGAAGAAGUUAAGGCGGGGCAGCAAAAGUUACAAGAAAUGAUGAACCAGCUACUGCUCAGACUAAAUUUCAAUGAGAACCAACACUUGGGAGAAGCAGCAGCAUCUGAAGAUUUUUCGUUUUCUCUAAAAACAGAGGCAGAGCUGCAAAAGAUGGAGGAAAAUCUGGAGGAUCGGCAGAUGAGAAGGAGAAUGGUAAGUUUUGCAGCAGCAGCUAUUUUCUGUAGGGUUUUUUAAUAGAGAUAUUACUGCUUUUUUCAAGAGUGCUGCAUAACUAUCAUUUAAGUGUGUCUUAAUUCUGUCAUAACAGUGUCUUGACAGCAUGCAUUAACAUGAGCUUGUGGUCACAUACAUCAGUAUUGUAGCAUUUUAUUUACUUUUCAAAUGAAGUAUCUCUCCUGCAUUGGGGGGGGGGGGGAAUGUUCCAGCUCUGGUACGGAGCAUAUUGAGAAUAUUCUCAACUCCCCUUGCACUUCAGUAUAAUUUUACUGGAGUCAAGGGGAAGAAAGGAUUCCUCGCACUGAGAGUACGAGGAGUAAAGAUGGGUGAGUUUGCUUUACUGUGUUUGUGGAAAAUAUUUCCAGGAUGUGAACAUUUAAUAUUAAAAUUUGUUUCACACUUUAUCAGUGCCACUGUAAAGGUAUAUAGAUAAUGAAAUGGAAAAAGAAAUAGGAAUUUUUAUUGGUAAUAAAGUGUACAAAGUAUAGGUAGUAAACAUGCAAUAACAUAAAAAGUGAGAGAAUUUUCUCUAAACUACUUCACAAUCACAGUAGUUUGCUGAAUUUUUGAGACAUACAGUGGUGUUUUUUUCCCAGCAAGGUAGAGAGACGUUAAAGUUUGUUGGAUUUUUUAAAAAUUUAUCAUCUAUCAGAGGAUAGAGCUUUUGACGGUUGUUUUCUUUGUAUAAAAUGUUUUUUUUUCUCUCUCAAAUUACAGAUGCAGUCAGGAGUGUUUCCACAAGGAACAGAAUUGGAAAUAAAUAACGUGGCACGUAAAUGGUUUAUAAGUGCCAGGGACAGGGAUGGAGGCCGACAUCGGCGCUUUAAUUCAACUACUGAUUCUGGCUCCCCUAGCAGGCUGUCUGGUGGGGCAUCAGUUAGGGAACCAAUACAGGGAGGAAGUAAAAGUUAGAUUUAGAAAAAUAAAUCAUUUUGAAU
rnacentral:lncRNA from 1 species